rnacentral:rRNA from 1 species
CUAAUACAUGCAAGUCGAACGAACUCUGGUAUUGAUUGGUGCUUGCAUCAUGAUUUACAUUUGAGUGAGUGGCGAACUGGUGAGUAACACGUGGGAAACCUGCCCAGAAGCGGGGGAUAACACCUGGAAACAGAUGCUAAUACCGCAUAACAACUUGGACCGCAUGGUCCGAGUUUGAAAGAUGGCUUCGGCUAUCACUUUUGGAUGGUCCCGCGGCGUAUUAGCUAGAUGGUGGGGUAACGGCUCACCAUGGCAAUGAUACGUAGCCGACCUGAGAGGGUAAUCGGCCACAUUGGGACUGAGACACGGCCCAAACUCCUACGGGAGGCAGCAGUAGGGAAUCUUCCACAAUGGACGAAAGUCUGAUGGAGCAACGCCGCGUGAGUGAAGAAGGGUUUCGGCUCGUAAAACUCUGUUGUUAAAGAAGAACAUAUCUGAGAGUAACUGUUCAGGUAUUGACGGUAUUUAACCAGAAAGCCACGGCUAACUACGUGCCAGCAGCCGCGGUAAUACGUAGGUGGCAAGCGUUGUCCGGAUUUAUUGGGCGUAAAGCGAGCGCAGGCGGUUUUUUAAGUCUGAUGUGAAAGCCUUCGGCUCAACCGAAGAAGUGCAUCGGAAACUGGGAAACUUGAGUGCAGAAGAGGACAGUGGAACUCCAUGUGUAGCGGUGAAAUGCGUAGAUAUAUGGAAGAACACCAGUGGCGAAGGCGGCUGUCUGGUCUGUAACUGACGCUGAG